UUGUUACGGGAAUAGUAACCAAAUAUGGAAUUGGAGAAGAUGAAGUCUCACUCACACCUCAUAAUUACUCAAUGCACCCUUGUGAGACUCUCUUCUUUAGGCCUAGAGCAUUUUUCUAACUACACCCCCAAUUUUCAGUCUAUUUUUGUCUUUUGUAUAUAUAUUUUUAUUUAUUAUUUUAUUAUUAUUGCUUUAUUUAUUUAUUUUUAUUCUUUUUUAUUUCCUUUAGUUUUUUUAAUUCUUUUACCUCUUGCAUU
rnacentral:lncRNA from 1 species